rfam:Pelobacter carbinolicus DSM 2380, complete genome.
AAAGUCCCGUCCGGGGAGUUGUCCGUUCACCCCGGUAGCUCAAGGGAGCGGCGUCUUGGUAACAAGGGGUCGUAAGUUCCUAAUUGGCAAAGCAGCAGGCCGUAACGCAAGUGAACCUGGAUGUAGCCUCGUAACUCAAUAUGAAGAUGCCGACCCUGUGGUCAAAUGGGGAAGGCCGCUGCCACGGGCUCAGAUAGCGGAAGCAGCCCGUGUGAUCUUCCGGGGUAGCAGGGAC